UAUAAUGAAUUUAUUACAUUGGCCAACAGUUUUCUUUGUGUUGUAGUUUUUCUGCAUCUACUUUGGGUGAGUUUUGAGUAGAUAGAUAGAUAGAUAGAUAGAUAGAUAGAUAGAUAGAUAGAUAGAUAGAUAGAUGAGUUAUUAGUGAUAGAUUUCAUGUUAAAUAAGUGAUAUCACUGAACUCUCUUGGUGUGGACCUCUGACCACAGUCACAGCACCUGGAACUUGUUAGAAAUGUAGAUUUUUACACCCAUCAAGUCAAGGGGUACUGGGACUAUAGUCAAAGCUUUGUGUUUUCAUAAGGCUCCCAGGUGGUUAUGAAUAAUGCUAAUGUCCAGGUAUGCCUAGCAGGGUGUGUGCUUUAAGCUGUGGGCUUUAGGGAUGGGUUCUUAUACCACAGUUACUGUGAUGGCCGUGGCUCAUGGUUGUGCCUAUAAGGUGUUCAUCCAGCUUGGCUUUGCACAGACCUUGCUGUAAUGCAGAAGGAAAGUGCCUGGCCCAUCUGGGGUUGAUCCAGGUGGUCUUGCUUACUGCUAUGCCCCACCAUGGUGGAAUGGGCAUUCCAAGUGGGUAUCUCUUGGAGGGAAGCCUUAGCAAGAGGGUGGCACAUUCCAGGAGCUUCCCAGAAGUGCUGCUGGAUUUUCUUCCAUGGGGACUGACAAAGCAGAUCAGCUUUUUGACUCUGGCAAGUUUUGAUGUGUUUUAAAGCAUGAGCCUGUACCAGGAAGAGGAUCUGCUAGCACCUGUCUUAACGAAGAUCAAUGUGCUGAAAGGGCUCAGUCUUCCAUGAAAGUCUGGUGUCUCGGAUUUGGCUCUUCGUUGCCCACUCCUGCUGCAUCUUGUCCAGCCGAGGGACAAAACACCCUGCCACUUCUCUGAAGAACAGGAAGAAAAGAAGUCAUGGAGGCAGAUUCCAGCACAGCCAGAGACUGAGAUGUUGAGCUCAGAGGGAGCAGGGAUCACCAAGGCACAUGCUGCCUGAAGCCCCAGGAAAGCUGGACAAGAGGCACAUUGGCCCAAGUGGUACAAGUACUAACAGUGACAUGCCAUGGACAUAGUACAGGCUGCCCAUCCAAGACCCACCAAAUGGAGGAUAGCACAGCAGAGUCUUUCUCACUUUGUAAAACCUGGCACAAGGACAGAGAAGCCGGAGCAGCAGCGUGUAUCCCAGAACUGCUAGAAAAAGCCAGAGAGGAUGACAUAUUGACUUGUGAUCAAUUGCACCAAUAGGUACUGUGAGAAGAGGCCUCACCUCCUUCAAUCCCAUUGCAUCUGGAUGCCAUUCUUCACUGUAAGCCUGAAGUCCUGCCUCAGCUGCCAACAUCCUGCUUAACAUUGCUUAUGAGGAAGUGCCCAUUUUCUCCUCCAUAUUCUGGAUUCACUCGUUAUGCAUAGCACUGGGUCAAUUUAGAUAGAAGCACCCUGAGACAUUCCUACUUCUCAGAAGCUGCCAAAUGUAUGUCACACCUGUGUCGCGUAUAACCUGGGGUCCACUUCUGACAGAUGCUGCCUCCUUGAUCAGUGAUUCUUUCCCUCAGCAAUGUGGUACCAUUCUCCCCUGCCUCAUGCAUCCCAGUUGUGACUUUGUCAGCUCCUGGUGUUUGGAUUGCAUGAAGAUGGAGAAGGAAUGGUUGGAGGAAAAACCUUAGUCUGCUUGGAGGCUGGAGCCUGGCUCCAACCUAGGCAGAAGGUCCCCAACCCCCAGCUCAUGUUCUGCCUUGUCCUCUUCCCACGAC
rnacentral:lncRNA from 1 species